rnacentral:tRNA from 1 species
ACUUGAAUAGCUUAUUUUAGAGCGCAACACUGAAGAUGUUGAUGAGGUAUAUUAUUGCCUUUAAGUA